rnacentral:rRNA from 1 species
AUUGAACGCUGGCGGCAGGCCUAACACAUGCAAGUCGAGCGAGCGCCGGACGGGGGAGUAAUGUAUGGGGACUGCCCCCUAGAGGGGGGUAACUACUGGAAACGGUAGCUAUUACCGCAUACACUCAGCUAGCCCAUAUGGGGUUAGCUUGUAGGUGAGGUAAAGGCUCACCUAGGCGACGAGCCCUAGCUGGGCUGAGAGGAUGAUCAGCCACACUGGGACUGAGACACGGCCCAGACUCCUACGGAGGCAGCAGUGGGGAAUAUUGCACAAGGGGCGCAAGCCUGAUGCAGCCAUGCCGCGUGUAUGAAGAAGGCCUUAGGGUUGUAAAGUACUUUCAGUCGGGAGGCGUUACCGACAGAAGAAGCACCGGCUAACUCCGUGCCAGCAGCCGCGGUAAUUC